AGGACGAACGCUGGCGGCGUGCUUAACACAUGCAAGUCGAGCGGAAAGGCCCUUCGGGGUACUCGAGCGGCGAACGGGUGAGUAACACGUGAGCAACCUGCCCUUAGCUUCGGGAUAGCUCCGGGAAACCGGAAUUAAUACCGGAUAUGACUAUGGCCGACAUCAGCCAUGGUGGAAAGUUUUUCGGCUAGGGAUGGACUCGCGGCCUAUCAGCUAGUUGGUGAGGUAACGGCUCACCAAGGCGACGACGGGUAGCCGGCCUGAGAGGGCGACCGGCCACACUGGGACUGAGACACGGCCCAGACUCCUACGGGAGGCAGCAGUGGGGAAUAUUGCGCAAUGGGCGAAAGCCUGACGCAGCGACGCCGCGUGGGGGAUGAAUGCCUUCGGGUUGUAAACCCUUUCAGCAGGGACGAGCGAAAGUGACGGUACCUGCAGAAGAAGCGCCGGCUAACUACGUGCCAGCAGCCGC
rnacentral:rRNA from 1 species